GUGUAAAAUUGCACUCCCAAAAUUAAAUCGAUUUUGCGGUUCGAAUUGAAUUCGGGAUCAGCCAACGGAAGAUCAACAACAUCAGCAGGAAUGGAUUUAGAAUGCCGUUUUGGGACGUAAGUAGUGAGCCGAGGUAGAAUCAAGGUUUUUUCCUUCAAGGAGAUAGAUGGAUCACAUCGCGACGUCAACCGAACCGAUACCAUUCCAUUGGUAGUACAUGUUUUCCCGGAACCAACACCGGUGAUGGGAAUGUUAGCAGCGCGACGCGGAAGAUGCAAUCGUUGCACCAACGAUUCACUAACAAAGAACACUUCUGAGCCCUGGUCUAUUAAUGCGAAUUGAACUGAUUUGGAUCAACGCCGUAGCCAAAAGAACUGGAGCACUGAUGUGACAUGCAUGAACCGAAUGACUGGUCGAUGGCUGAGGUGGAAAAUCGUGUAAUAUUGUGUGAUGAGGUUGUCUGCAGUUCAGGCACCUAGCGAAGACGCGACACGCGGAUACGGAAUGAUGACUCAGGCAAUUGAAACAAAGUUUAUUGGUCAUCACAUAUUCACAUCGUUGACGAGGUGUCUUUGUAAUAAACUGAGAGCAACGAUAUAGACGAUGUUCAUUUGCAUUGUUCACACAAUGCACAUCUGAUUGUUCCCGGUGAGGUAUUAUGUGAUUUAAAAUUAACAGUUUUUUGUCUAGAGCUUGUACAAAAAUACGAAUUUUUACUUUUUUCAGAAAGAUUUUCGAUUGCUUCUAGGGUCAAAACACGCACCGACAGAAAGUCCAUGAAAUCGUCGAAUUUUGAAGGGGUACGAUGAUCGCUGACCGAUUUUUCCCAUUCUUUUAUAGAAUCGGUAUCUAAUUUUCUGACGAUUAAGUAUACCAAGAGGUAAUCCUAUUUAUCGACAGGACAACCCAAGGACUCCAGAGCUCCGAGAGCUUCUUUAACUUCCCCAAUCAAUCAAUUCAACUCUACAGAAGACUCAGUUCUUAGAGGUUUUGCCGAAAAUAACGCGGAGAUUUGAUUGUCAAUCAGUACCCGUAGAUUUUCAUAUCUAUCAACAAGAAGAUUCUACGCCCGGUUAAAAUUGUCAUAUUGAAAUUUCUCCACUCCGGUUAGAUCGGUAUUGUCACUGACCAUAGUGUGACGAAGAGGUCACGAAAUUGAGUCCACUCAGAAUAGGAACCGCCAAAUGUCGGAAGAUUUAUUCGCGGAACCUGUCGCGCGCGCGACGGUACAGCUUCUGUGGUCGCGGUAGCGUUCGACGUGACACUAGCGGGUGUUUCGAUCUCGCGUAUCAUAUCUAUGAACAGAUCCGGACUAUGCCUGGUUAUCUGUUGUAGGGAGGUGGUGA